rnacentral:rRNA from 1 species
AGUGAACGUUGGCGGCGUGGAUUAGGCAUGCAAGUCGAGCGAUCGUAGCAAUACGGGAGCGGCAAACGGGGUAGGAAUACAUCGGAACGUACCUUUUGGUUGAGAAUAGCGUUGGGAAACUGACGGUAAUACUCAAUAAAGUCGAGAGACCAAAGGUUUACUGCCGGAAGAGCGGCCGAUGCGAUAUUAGGUAGUUGGUGGGGUAAUGGCCUACCAAGCCUGAGAUGUCUAGGGGGUGUGAGAGCAUGGCCCCCACCACUGGGACUGAGAUACUGCCCAGACACCUACGGGUGGCUGCAGUCGAGGAUCUUCGU